UAGAAAUGAAGCAAGAUCCUCUUACGACCAUAUCAUAACAUGUUACAUGGAGCAUGGGGAAAAAAACACUACUGUAACAACCACUGUGUCGUAAUAGCUCACUACUCAAACGACGUCGCUCCACGGCGAAAUCCUCAUCAACCGUCGCAGCCCAAAACGACUCGUCGUACAACUCAUCUUCCAGUGUGUGCCUUCCUUCUCCAUCCACUACACUGAAACACCAAAUCGCAACGACGUCGUUCCAGCAACCACCCUGUCCAAACCCUAGUUUUCUCUCUUCCUCUCAUGUCCUCCGAAGACAUCACCCUCGUCCCCGACCAGAGGAUCGAGAACGGUCUCAGCUCCCCUCUUGUCUUCCAAGAUGACCCUCUCCGCUUCAAUUGCCCCACGCAGCAGCGUCGGGUCGGGGACCCGGGUCCUAAAACCCGUGACCUCGGCGCCUUCAUCGACGAGAAGAUGUUCAUCGACCGCGACCGCUUCUUCGCCGCCCAGAACCCUGACUUCCGCCGCUACGCCGACUGCUCCUCCCGCCAAGACCCCCGAAAUUGGACCGUCAACGGCACCGCCGCCACUCCCAGCGAGGACGACGAUUCCGACGAGGAUGACGAAGAUGACGACGAGGAGGACGACGACGAAGGCGAUACGGAAGUUGAAGGACUCGUCGGUGGUGGAAGCAAAAGCGAAAUUAUCGCUAACAACAACGGUGGCGGUGGUAAUUUGCCUUCUGUUGCAAACGGGAAAGCUCACGCUUUUGUUUCUGGGAGAGAGCUGUUGGGGAAGGACGGUGGAGAGAUUGGGCAGUUGGUGCUUAGCAAUGUGAGUGGUGGUGGUGAUGACGAUCAUCGGCAAGAGGGGUUAGGUAAGUCUCAGAAUUCUGUUACCGUUGCUGAAACUGACUGUGAGGACUACUAUUCGCACUACCUUCAAGGUGCUGAUGGGGCUUCUGGCCACAAAGUUAUGGUGGAUGAUGGUGGUUGUGGGUUUAGUGGGAGAAAGGAUGCAAUGUAUUCUACCGAGUCAGGGGAAUCACUCAGGAAUAUUCUUUCAGAUCCUGUUACUGGAGCUCUUAUGGAUGACGCAAUGAUAUUACCGUGUGGACAUUCAUUUAGCGGAAGUGGAAUACAGCAUGUUAUUAGAAUGAAAGCUUGCUGCACUUGUUCUCAACCCACAACCGAGGAAUCAAUAUCUCCAAACCUAUCACUUCGAGCUGCUGUGCAGGCAUAUCGUCGGGAAGAGGAGUCUCAAUUUUACCGGUCACCUAAACGAAGAAGAGAGAGAUUCGAUCAGGACAGGGUGGAUUUGGAGAUUCAUCUGUUAUGGAACCAUCAAGGAGUAGAGGUGUUCAGUUUCCAUUUGCUGUUAUGGACCGGGUUGUCAUAAAGGGAAACAAAAGGACACCACAACGCUUUGUUGGGCGUGAAGCGAUUGUAACAACGCAAUGCCUGAAUGGAUGGUAUGUAGUGAAGACAUUGGACAAUGCAGAGAGUGUAAAGUUGCAGUAUCGAUCACUCGCUAAGGUUUUGGAUGAUCCUUCAAAACCUGCCUCCAGCAAGAUGUCACCUAAUUGGCUUUAGAACUGCUGCAGACAGUCAUCAAAUACUUCUACACCAACAUAAAUUCUUCGUUGUAAUUCCAUUGUUGUAUCCCUUGCGAGAAACCGUGCUAGAUGAGUUUGUAAAUAUUGAAACCAUACCAUGUUUUGUGCUUGUCGAGUUUUUAGUAUCUGAGUAAUCAUUUUGUUAUAGAUACAACUGACAGAGUAUAUAAAUGAUUGUGAUCUUAAACGAUAGUAAUACACCAUUUUCGGCUAUAGACUUUGAUGAUUGAUA